rnacentral:rRNA from 1 species
UUGGCUCAGAAGCAGCCACCAUUUAAAGAGUGCGUAAUAGCUCACUGGUCGAGAGACGCUGCGCCGAAAAUGUCCGGGGCUCAAGCACGGAACCGAAGCUAUGGCAUGAUAGCAAUAUCAUGGGUAGGGGAGCGUUCUUAUAAGGAAGAAGCAUGACCGGAAGGACAUGUGGACAAAUAAGAAGUGAGAAUGCCGGUAUGAGUAUCGAAAAGAAAGGUGAGAAUCCUUUCCACCGAAAGCCCGAGGGUUCCUGAGCAACGAUCGUCGACUCAGGGUAAGUCGGGACCUAAGCCGAGGCGAGAAGCGUAGGCGAUGGACAACAGGUUGAAAUUCCUGUACCGGAUCAAGUCGAUCGAGCGAAGGAGCGACGCAGGAGGGCACAUGAUCGCGCGGCUGGAAGAGCGCGUCCAAGUGCGUAUGUUGCCGCAGAGGAAAACCCCUGCAGCUAAAAGCAGAGACAUGAAGGGGAGUUAAAGGAAACUUUGACGAACUCAUGGAUCCCACACUGCCAAGAAAAACUUCUAGCGAGACAAGAUCCGCCCGUACCGUAAACCGACACAGGUAGGCGGGGAGAGAAUCCUAAGGUGCGCGGGAAAACCCUCGUUAAGGAACUCGGCAAAUUGCAUCCGUAACCUAGGGAGAAGGAUGGCCCCCGGUCAGUGAAGAGCAGAAACGCUCAGAGCUAAAAGGGGCGGCAGAAAAGAGGCCCAAGCAACUGUUUACCAAAAACACAGGUGCCUGCGAAAGCGAAAGCUGAAGUAUAGGUGCUGACGCCUGCCCGGUGCCGGAAGGUUAAGGAGAGAAGUUAGCGAAAGCGAAGCAUCGAACUGAAGCCCCGGUGAACGGCGGCCGUAACUAUAACGGUCCUAAGGUAGCGAAAUUCCUUGUCGGGUAAGUUCCGACCCGCACGAAAGGUGUAACGAUUUGGGCACUGUCUCAACGAGGGACCCGGUGAAAUUGAAAUACCUGUGAAGAUGCAGGUUACCCGCGACUGGACAGAAAGACCCCAUGGAGCUUCACUGCAGCUUGAGAUUGAAUCCCGGUGACAGAUGCACAGGAUAGGUGGGAGGCGCCGAAGCAUUGCCCUAGGGCGGUGCGGAGCCGAUGUUGGGAUACCACCCUUCUGUUGCUGAGAUUCUAACGCGAGGAGUAACGACCCUGCGGACCCUCUCAGGCAGGCGGUUUGACUGGGGCGGUCGCCUCCGAAAGAGUAACGGAGGCGCCCAAAGGUUCCCUCAGGCCGGACAGAAACCGGCCGAAGAGUGCAAAGGCAGAAGGGAGCUUGACUGCGAGACCAACAAGUCGAGCAGAGACGAAAGUCGGGCUUAGUGAUCCGGUGGUACUGAGUGGAAAGGCCAUCGCUCAACGGAUAAAAGCUACCCUGGGGAUAACAGGCUAAUCUCUCCCAAGAGUCCAUAUCGACGGGGAGGUUUGGCACCUCGAUGUCGGCUCAUCACAUCCUGGGGCUGGAGUAGGUCCCAAGGGUUGGGCUGUUCGCCCAUUAAAGUGGUACGCGAGCUGGGUUCAAAACGUCGUGAGACAGUUUGGUUCAUAUCCAUCGCGGGCGCAAGAAGUUUGAGAGGAGCUGCUCCUAGUACGAGAGGACCGGAGUGGACGGAUCAACGGUGUCCCAGUUGUCACGCCAGUGGCACGGCUGGAAAGCCGCAUCCGGGAAGGAUAAACGCUGAAAGCAUCUAAGCGCGAAGCCAACCUCAAGAUGAGACUUCUCAUCAGCAAUGAGUAAGACCCCUUACAGACGAUGAGGUAGAUAGGUUAUGAGUGGAAGAGCCGCAAGGCUUGGAGCGACAUAAAACUAAUAGGUCGAGGUCUUAACUUA